rnacentral:rRNA from 1 species
AGGGAAUAUUGGACAAUGGGGGCAACCCUGAUCCAGCCAUGCCGCGUGAGUGAAGAAGGCCCUCGGGUUGUAAAGCUCUUUUGUCCGGAAAGAAAAGCUUCGGGUUAAUACCCCGGGGUUCUGACGGUACCGGAAGAAUAAGCACCGGCUAACUUCGUGCCAGCAGCCGCGGUAAUACGAAGGGUGCAAGCGUUACUCGGAAUUACUGGGCGUAAAGCGUGCGUAGGUGGUUAUUUAAGUCUGAUGUGAAAGCCCUGGGCUCAACCUGGGAAUGGCAUUGGAAACUGGGCAGCUAGAGUGCGGUAGAGGGUAGUGGAAUUCCCGGUGUAGCAGUGAAAUGCGUAGAGAUCGGGAGGAACAUCUGUGGCGAAGGCGACUGCCUGGACCAGCACUUACACUGAGGCACGAAAGCGUGGGGAGCAAACA